AUCAGUUGUUGUUGGUGAAAUGGCACUCAUUCCUCCUGCUCUUAAACCCUGUCUGGGUGCUGCCUCCAUUUGCUAAACUGCCAUAAAGUGUCCAGAAGGAGGGCGAAGUGAUGAAGACAGGGUGCUGGAGGAGCAGCGGGGGCAUCUAUCUGAAGGAAAUUGAAAGGUGACAGACCGGAGCGAUGCCAACCAGCUGGCCGGCAGCCAAUUUAUCUGGGAGAAGAUGAGGAUGUGAGGGAGGUUCCCGCUGGAACGAUUCCAGAGGACAUCCUGGAGUGCGAUGAGACCCACCGCGAGAAAAACUAGAUGGUGAGAUGUUCUGCUGCCGGGGAGAGAGAAAAACCUUGCACCAAUAUGACAAAGCAAAGACAUUGAUGGACGUUGCAUGGCAACAGAUGGUAAACCCUCUGGUGGAUGACAUGGUUUAAGUUGAUGGGGAAGCAUUGGAUAUUCCCCUUGGUGCUAGUCAUGUUAACAUCACGGUAUGUAAAUGUCUAUUUUUGAAAGAGUUGAGCUAGAGGGCGUGUGCAUAUCAAAUCACUUGGUAUGAUCAGCUGUCAUCUCCUGCCUUGUAACGUGUCACUCCCUGAAAUGGAACAUUAGCAGUACAUCUAACACAUUAGCAGGAGCCAGGAUUGCAGAAAUGCAAGUUAGUUCAAAAAGAUCACAACUGAUAGGAAUAAUGCUCCAAAUAUAUAUCGCAUUUUCUUUUAGGUUGUGCGAAAAUACAAUAAAGCACAGUUGAGACAUAGAAGUACCAAUUCCUCCAUCUUAUAUGGAUAGGGAAAUGGUCCAUGCACACAAAACCCAAACACAUUAAUGGUGCAACUGAAUGGCCUAUUUUCAUAUUAACAUUUGGGGAAUUUUAGAUAAAGUCUGUAUUAAGGGAUUCCACCUUUUAAAGGUUGUGGUAAAGGGCAGCAGCCACAGGGGUGGGCAGGGCCCCAGCUGAUAUUGGCAGCAUCUCUAAGUGA